CCGGAGCCUUGACAACCAGUUUCCCUCCUUGUACCUUGGUCUUGUGGCGUUGUUCGGCAUAUUGGCAGCCAGACCGGAUUUCAACUCUGCAACCUUGGAUGCCCUGAAACUCAGGCGAACCGUGAACUCACAGAGAUCCUCCUGCCUCUGCAUCAAGGUGUAUCUAAAGGUCGGAAGAUUGACUGGGAGACACAGGAAGAUGGAAAAGCAGAAAAGAACAUGGAAGCCAUGUGGGACAUGGUGACAAAAUUAGCUCCACAGUAGACCACCAGGGCCCAGAACAUCUUUAAAGCAGCGAAAGAAAACCAGAAAUAUUGCCUCUAACAGUAGCGGGAAGACUUAUUGCCAACUUGCUCACUGAAAUAAUGGACGCCUGGAGACACAGAAUAACACACUCUACGUCCUGGAAGAAACAACUGCCAAUACUGAAUUCUUACAACAAAUACAUCCUUCACAAGCAAAGGCCAAAGGGGUUUACUGCUCCUGGCUGGGACAGAGCAGCAGUGGGAAGCAGACCAGCUCUCCUGCCAAGAGUUAGAAGAGCCAGGGCAAUAGAGAAAUGGUUCCUUUGGAGGCGUGAGGUCUACUGAGGGAAGAGAUGAAGUAAGUCUUGAGAGGUGAGCUGACUUGGGCAGCCAGCAGGAUUGAGGAGAGGAUGUACCAAUGGCUAUGCUGGAAACUGGAGAAAGGAUGGCGUCAGG